rnacentral:rRNA from 1 species
GACGAACGCUGGCGGCGUGCUUAACACAUGCAAGUCGAACGGAAAGGCCCUGCUUUUGUGGGGUGCUCGAGUGGCGAACGGGUGAGUAACACGUGAGUAACCUGCCCUUGACUUUGGGAUAACUUCAGGAAACUGGGGCUAAUACCGGAUAGGAGCUCCUGCUGCAUGGUGGGGGUUGGAAAGUUUCGGCGGUUGGGGAUGGACUCGCGGCUUAUCAGCUUGUUGGUUGGGUAGUGGCUUACCAGGGCUUUGACGGGUAGCCGGCCUGAGAGGGUGACCGGCCACAUUGGGACUGAGAUACGGCCCAGACCCCUACGGGAGGCAGCAGUGGGGAAUAUUGCACAAUGGGCGGAAGCCUGAUGCAGCAACGCCGCGUGCGGGAUGACGGCCUUCGGGUUGUAAACCGCUUUCGCCUGUGACGAAGCGUGAGUGACGGUAAUGGGUAAAGAAGCACCGGCUAACUACGUG